AUUGAACGCUGGCGGCAGGCCUAACACAUGCAAGUCGAACGGAUGAGCGGACGGGUAAGUGAUGCCUAGGAAUCUGCCUGGUAGUGAUGGAUAGCGUCCGGAAACGGACGCUAUUGCCACAUCCUCUCGGAUGAGCCUAGGCCGGAUUAGCUAGUUGGUGGGGGAAAGGCCUACCAAGGCGACGAUCCGUAACUGGUCUGGGAGGAUGAUCAGUCACACUGGAACUGAGACACGGUCCAGACUCCUACGGGAGGCAGCAGUGGGGAAUAUUGGACAAUGGGCGAAAGCCUGAUCCAGCCAUGCCGCGUGUGUGAAGAAGGUCUUCGGAUUGUAAAGCACUUUAAGUUGGGAGGCGUUACCAACAGAAUAAGCACCGGCUAACUUCGUGCCAGCCGCCGCGGUAAUUC
rnacentral:rRNA from 1 species